AAUACAAUUGGUGCAUGAAAGGAAAAAGAUAGGACUUCUGGGUCCCAGGAGGAAGAGAAGGGAGUCAGGGAAGGAAGAGAUUUUUCAGAACAUGUUUUGGGAUGAGUUGGAAGCAGCAGUUUUGUAAGGUUUUGGUCACCUUGAGUUUUUAGUCUCUGUUAUAGGUGGGAGUCAAGGAGUUUGGUGAGUGCUAGGUGAUAGGAUUAGGGCAAGAAAUUCUUUGCUUAGUCAUUGGAUUAUCUGGCUAGUUUUAGAAUAAUAAAACUGUCUAAUGUUUUCCUCCACAGAGCGAUGGUGGGCAGAAGGAGAAAGAAGGCAUCAGGGGCAGUGGAUCAUGGAGUUAAUCCAGGAGAGAUAAGAUCACGGGUAGCAGCACUGGGCAAGGAGAAUUCAAGCCCCAAGUACAUCAGAUUCUUCGAAUAACCUCUUGGCUAUGAGAG
rnacentral:lncRNA from 1 species